rfam:Triticum aestivum genome assembly, contig: Triticum_aestivum_CS42_TGACv1_scaffold_129633_2BL
GAUGUACUUCCUUCGUCCAGGAAUACUUGUCGGAGAAAUGGAUGUAUCUAGGCGUAUUUUAGUUUUAGAUAGAUUCAUUUUUAUUCAUUUCUCCGACAAGUAUUUUCAGACGGAGGAAGUACAAA